CGCUGUCGAUCUCAGCCUGGCUCCGAAGCUCUACCAUCUCCAGGUCGCCCUGGAGCACUUCAAGGGCUGGAAGGUCCCUGAAACCCUGACCAGCGUCCAUGCCUACACCGAGGUAACACACGUUACCUUCUUUUGCCACUUCCAAAAUCUUUGUCCAUAGAUGAAGUUGCCGAGGCUCAUGACUAUGUUUUCCCCUCACGCAGGCUCUCUUCAGCCGCGAGUCGUUCGUCAAGACCAAGGCGACCAAGGAGAACCUGAUCGCCGGGUGGGCGCCGAAAGUGAACCCGUAAGCCCUCCCGCCGCUCGGAGACCCGGCCCACCCCCGUCGUGUGAGUAGCGACGGGCCUCAUCUGUCUAGGUUGGAAUAAUGCGAGCGAGCCUUGAUGUGCUCUGGUUGUCGCAAGACGUGCACUUGCUGCCUGGACUGUGCCCUGCCUGGCUUGUGUGUGUGGGUGUGGGUGAUAUGUGUGUGGUCUGGUUCUAGCGGGAGUGCAAGUAUUGUGGUGUGAACCUCUUUCGUGUGAAUGAAUAAUGGAGCUGCGUAAAAUUCAGAUUUGUUAUGCUGUAGAGAGUGGAGGAGCGCCUCCGAGGAAGUAAGAUGUGGGACGCCGUUUCUUCAGUGUCUCCGAUGUGACUCGUGAGAUGGGGCAGGCAGCAGCGGCUUCUGCAUCAGGAGUGGGAAUUAAUUAAAACUGGAGAUGUAGAAAGUAGAAAAUUGCCCCCUCACUUGAUUCAACAAAUUGAACUUCCCACACCUGAUGUGUGACCAUCAGGCUGAUUCAGG
rnacentral:lncRNA from 1 species